rnacentral:rRNA from 1 species
UACGGGGGGGAGCAAGCGUUGUUCGGAUUUACUGGGCGUAAAGGGCGCGUAGGCGGCGUAACAAGUCACUUGUGAAAUCUCCGGGCUUAACUCGGAGCGGUCAAGUGAUACUGUUGUGCUAGAGUGCGGAAGGGGCUACUGGAAUUCUCGGUGUAGCGGUGAAAUGCGUAGAUAUCGAGAGGACACCUGCGGCGAAGGCGGGUAGCUGGGCCGACACUGACGCUGAAGCGCGAAAGCUAGGGGAGCGAACGGG